rnacentral:rRNA from 4 species
AGAGUUUGAUCAUGGCUCAGAUUGAACGCUGGCGGCAGGCCUAACACAUGCAAGUCGAGCGGUAGCACAGAGAGCUUGCUCUCGGGUGACGAGCGGCGGACGGGUGAGUAAUGUCUGGGAAACUGCCUGAUGGAGGGGGAUAACUACUGGAAACGGUAGCUAAUACCGCAUAAUGUCGCAAGACCAAAGUGGGGGACCUUCGGGCCUCAUGCCAUCAGAUGUGCCCAGAUGGGAUUAGCUAGUAGGUGGGGUAACGGCUCACCUAGGCGACGAUCCCUAGCUGGUCUGAGAGGAUGACCAGCCACACUGGAACUGAGACACGGUCCAGACUCCUACGGGAGGCAGCAGUGGGGAAUAUUGCACAAUGGGCGCAAGCCUGAUGCAGCCAUGCCGCGUGUAUGAAGAAGGCCUUCGGGUUGUAAAGUACUUUCAGCGGGGAGGAAGGCGAUAAGGUUAAUAACCUUGUCGAUUGACGUUACCCGCAGAAGAAGCACCGGCUAACUCCGUGCCAGCAGCCGCGGUAAUACGGAGGGUGCAAGCGUUAAUCGGAAUUACUGGGCGUAAAGCGCACGCAGGCGGUCUGUCAAGUCGGAUGUGAAAUCCCCGGGCUCAACCUGGGAACUGCAUUCGAAACUGGCAGGCUAGAGUCUUGUAGAGGGGGGUAGAAUUCCAGGUGUAGCGGUGAAAUGCGUAGAGAUCUGGAGGAAUACCGGUGGCGAAGGCGGCCCCCUGGACAAAGACUGACGCUCAGGUGCGAAAGCGUGGGGAGCAAACAGGAUUAGAUACCCUGGUAGUCCACGCCGUAAACGAUGUCGAUUUGGAGGUUGUGCCCUUGAGGCGUGGCUUCCGGAGCUAACGCGUUAAAUCGACCGCCUGGGGAGUACGGCCGCAAGGUUAAAACUCAAAUGAAUUGACGGGGGCCCGCACAAGCGGUGGAGCAUGUGGUUUAAUUCGAUGCAACGCGAAGAACCUUACCUGGUCUUGACAUCCACAGAACUUAGCAGAGAUGCUUUGGUGCCUUCGGGAACUGUGAGACAGGUGCUGCAUGGCUGUCGUCAGCUCGUGUUGUGAAAUGUUGGGUUAAGUCCCGCAACGAGCGCAACCCUUAUCCUUUGUUGCCAGCGGUUCGGCCGGGAACUCAAAGGAGACUGCCAGUGAUAAACUGGAGGAAGGUGGGGAUGACGUCAAGUCAUCAUGGCCCUUACGACCAGGGCUACACACGUGCUACAAUGGCAUAUACAAAGAGAAGCGACCUCGCGAGAGCAAGCGGACCUCAUAAAGUAUGUCGUAGUCCGGAUUGGAGUCUGCAACUCGACUCCAUGAAGUCGGAAUCGCUAGUAAUCGUAGAUCAGAAUGCUACGGUGAAUACGUUCCCGGGCCUUGUACACACCGCCCGUCACACCAUGGGAGUGGGUUGCAAAAGAAGUAGGUAGCUUAACCUUCGGGAGGGCGCUUACCACUUUGUGAUUCAUGACUGGGGUGAAGUCGUAACAAGGUAACCGUAGGGGAACCUGCGGUUGGAUCACCU